rnacentral:rRNA from 1 species
CGCAUCUGUGCAUGCAGCAUAUCAAUAAGCGGAGGAAAAGAAACUAACAAGGAUUCCCUUAGUAACGGCGAGUGAAGCGGGAAGAGCUCAAAUUUGAAAUCUUCAAGGUUUUACCUUGACGAAUUGUAGUUUAAAGAAGUGUUUUCUGUUGAAGUUUUGGUAAAAGUUCUUUGGAAUAGGACAUCAUAGAGGGUGAGAAUCUCGUAUUUGACCAUUAUUUUCAGCUGUGUGAUACACUUUCAAAGAGUCGGAUUGUUUGGGAAUGCAGUCCAAAAUGGGUGGUAAAUUUCAUCUAAAGCUAAAUAUUGGCGAGAGACCGAUAGCGAACAAGUACCGUGAGGGAAAGAUGAAAAGAACUUUGAAAAGAGAGUUAAACAGUACGUGAAAUUGUCAAAAGGGAAGCGUUUGACACCAGUGUUGUUUUCUCGAAAAUCAAUUAAAAAGAGUUAGAUUUUGUUGUGUAUUGACCUUAACAGCUUGCAUUUCAAUUUUCUUGCUUUUUUUAAUGCACUUUUCGUUUAACAAGUCAACAUCAGUUUCUUUUGUUGUAAAAAGGUCAUUGGAAGGUGGCUUUCUUUCGGAGAAAGUGUUUAUAGCCUUUGACUCUGCAAUCGGAGAGACUGAGGUCUGCAGCGUAGAUCCUUCGGGGUUAGAUACAUUUGUGCUAAGUUAUAGCUUUUUAUAGACAACUUGUUGACUAUGAUUAGUCUUGUAGCUUACUCGCUUAUGCUAUUUUACCUACGCUUAGGAUGUUGAUGUGAUACUGCGAGCA